rnacentral:rRNA from 1 species
UGGGGGAUAUUGCACAAUGGGGGAAACCCUGAUGCAGCGACGCCGCGUGAGUGAAGAAGUAUUUCGGUAUGUAAAGCUCUAUCAGCAGGGACGAAGAUGACGGUACCUGAGUAAGAAGCCCCGGCUAACUACGUGCCAGCAGCCGCGGUAAUACGUAGGGGGCAAGCGUUAUCCGGAUUUACUGGGUGUAAAGGGAGCGUAGACGGUCAAGCAAGUCUGGAGUGAAAGGCGGGGGCUCAACCCCCGGACUGCUCUGGAAACUGUAUGACUGGAGUGCAGGAGGGGUAAGUGGAAUUCCUAGUGUAGCGGUGAAAUGCGUAGAUAUUAGGAGGAACACCAGUGGCGAAGGCGGCUUACUGGACUGUAACUGACGUUGAGGCUCGAAAGCGUGGGGAGCAAACAGG